UACGUAGGGUGCGAGCGUUAAUCGGAAUUACUGGGCGUAAAGCGUGCGUAGGCGGUUUGUCGCGUCUGCUGUGAAAACGCGAGGCUCAACCUCGCGCCUGCAGUGGGUACGGGCAGACUAGAGUGUGGUAGGGGAGAUUGGAAUUCCUGGGUGUAGCGGUGGAAUGCGCAGAUAUCAGGGAGGAACACCGGAUGGCGAAGGCAGAUCUCUGGGCCAUUACUGACGCUGAGGAGCGAAAGCGUGGGGAGCGAACAGG
rnacentral:rRNA from 1 species